GACAGAGGGUGCAAACGUUGUUCGGAAUUACUGGGCGUAAAGCGUGUGUAGGCGGUCUCGUAAGUCGGAUGUGAAAGCCCUGGGCUCAACCCAGGAAGUGCACUCGAAACUGCGAGGCUAGAGUAUCGGAGAGGUUGGUGGAAUUCUCGGUGUAGAGGUGAAAUGCGUAGAUAUCAAGUGGAACACCAGUGGCGAAGGCGAGUCUCUGGGCCGAUACUGACGCUGAGGAGCGAAAGCGUGGGGAGCGAACAGG
rnacentral:rRNA from 1 species